ACUCAAAGGAAUUGACGGGGGCUCACACAAGCGGUGGAGCAUGUGGCUUAAUUCGAGGCUACGCGAAGAACCUUAUCCCAGGCUUGACAUGCGCGGAUUAGCCGGCGGAAACGUCGGUGAGGCCUUCGGGUACAACGCGUGCAGGUGCUGCAUGGCUGUCGUCAGCUCGUGCCGUGAGGUGUUGGGUUAAGUCCCGUAACGAGCGAAACCCCUGCGGCCAGUUGCCAACACGUAAUGGUGGGGACUCUGGCCGGACCGCCGGCGUUAAGCCGGAGGAAGGCGGGGAUGACGUCAAGUCAUCAUGGCCCUUAUGCCUGGGGCUGCACACGUGCUACAAUGGGGCGGACAAAGCGUCGCAAUGCCGCGAGGCCGAGCUAAUCGCAGAAACCGCCCCCCAGUUCGGAUUGUGGGCUGCAACCCGCCCACAUGAAGCCGGAAUCGCUAGUAAUCGCGGAUCAGCAGUGCCGCGGUGAAUGGGUUCCUGAGCCUUGUACACACCGCCCGU
rnacentral:rRNA from 1 species